rnacentral:lncRNA from 1 species
AUGACACUCUGCAGCAAAACGGCAAAGUUGGAAACGACAUCCAUGAUGGACCAGCUGCCAGUCUUGAAGAAUCUGGUCUCCAUCUGCAUUUAUGUGGGUAAAUUUGCAAACUGGAGAAAAUGGGGAUAUACCAGAAACUUAGAAUGGAUUUGUAGGAGAUUUUCAAACUACCUGCAUGGUAAGUUUCUCUCUAACCUUCCACUCAAAAAAAAAAAAAAAUUGCAUUACAGCUUGCUCUUACCCUGUAUUUUUGGGUGUUUUUGUAAUAUACGAGUUUUCAUUUUUUCCCCUCUAAUUUUGGUACUGUAUGUAAGGCAAAGAUCUUCCCCCUGUAGGUGA